rnacentral:rRNA from 1 species
CCCUUAGAUGUUCUGGGCUGCACGCGCGCUACACUGAAGCGUUCAACGAGUAUUUCACCUUGCCCGGGAGGGUUGGGUAAUCUUUUUAAAACGCUUCGUGAUGGGGAUAGAUUAUUGCAAUUAUUAAUCUUCAACGAGGAAUUCCUAGUAAGCGCGAGUCAUCAGCUCGUGCUGAUUACGUCCCUGCCCUUUGUACACACCGCCCGUCGCUCCUACCGAUUGAAUGGUCCGGUGAAGCGUUCGGACCGCUUCCUUUGGACGGGCAACCGUCUGUUGGUCGUGGGAAGUUCGUUAAACCUUAUCAUUUAGAGGAAGGAGAAGUCGUAACA